rnacentral:rRNA from 2 species
UGGGGAAUAUUGGACAAUGGGCGAAAGCCUGAUCCAGCGACGCCGCGUGGGUGAAGAAGGCCUGCGGGUUGUAAAGCCCUUUCGGUAGGGACGAAAGCCUCCGACCUAACACGUCGGGGGGAUGACUUAACCUACAAAAGAAGCACCGGCUAACUCUGUGCCAGCAGCCGCGGUAAUACAGAGGGUGCGAGCGUUAAUCGGAAUUACUGGGCGUAAAGCGCACGUAGUCGGCUUGGUAUGUCGGGUGUGAAAUCCCCGGGCUCAACCUGGGAACUGCAUCCGAAACGGCCUUGCUAGAGUAUGGGAGAGGGAAGCGGAAUUUCCGGUGUAGCAGUGAAAUGCGUAGAUAUCGGAAGGAACAUCAGUGGCGAAGGCGGCUUCCUGGACCAAUACUGACGAUCAGGUGCGAAAGCGUGGGGAGCAAACAGG